CCUAGUAAGCGUGAGUCAUCAGCUCAUGUUGAUUACGUCCCUGCCCUUUGUACACACCGCCCGUCGCUACUACCGAUUGAAUGGCUUAGUGAGACUCUCGGAUCGGGUUUUGGGAACCGGCAACGGAUCCUUUCUUCUGAGAAGUUUGUCAAACUUGGUCAUUUAGAGGAAGUAAAAGUCGUAACAAGGUUUCCGUAGGUGAACCUGCGGAAGGAUCAUUAGAAUAUUCGGGAAUUUUUUCCCUAAAUAUCUUAUUCAAAAAAUUUCCAUCCUAUUAAAAAUAUAAUUUUUUAAAUUUUAUUAAUAAAAAAUAAAGACAACUUUCAACAACGGAUCUCUUGGCUCUUGCAUCGAUGAAGAACGCAGUGAAAUGCGAUACGUAAUGUGAAUUGCAGAAUUCCGUGAAUCAUCAAAUCUUUGAACGCAAAUUGCACUCCUUGGUAUUCCGAGGAGUAUGCUUGCUUGAGGGUCGAAUCAUAUUAUCGUUUUUUAACGGAUCUGGGUUUUUCCAAGUUUUUUUAAACCUUGGUAACCUAAAAUUUAUCUUAAUAAUAUUUGUAAUAUUGAAAAUGUGUAUCUUACGUUCACGUGAGUUUAUUGACAAUUAUUAUGAAUUUAUUACGUCGUAUUAUUCACCCGGUUUUUUUAACGAUCGGGGCGAAAAUGAUACAAUUUUUUAAAAUUCGACCUCAAGUCAAGUAAGAAUACCCGCUGAACUUAAGCAUAUCAAUAAGCGGAGGAAAAGAAACUAACAAGGAUUCCCUUAGUAACGGCGAGUGAACUGGGAAGAGCUCAAAUUUAAAAUCAUCAGGGUUUCCCUGGUGAGUUGUAAUUUGAAGAAAGUGUUUUGAUGUUCGGGUUUUAUCUAAAUCCUUUGGGAUAAGGUAUCAUAGAGGGUGAGAAUCCCGUUCGUGAUUAAACCUCGGAUGACACUUAAUUCAUUUUCUAAGAGUCGAGUUGUUUGGGAUUGCAGCUCAAAAUGGGUGGUAAAUUUCACCUAAGGCUAAAUAUAUGCGAGAGACCGAUAGCGAACAAGUACCGUGAGGGAAAGAUGAAAAGAACUUUGAAAAGAGAGUUAAAUAGUACGUGAAAUUGUUGAAAGGGAAACGAUUGAAGUCAGUCAUGCUAGUGAGGAAUCAACUCGGUGGUUUUCUUCCGGGUGUACUUUCUCGCCUGGCAGGUUAGCAUCAAUUUCGUUCAUCAUUAAAUGAUCGGGGUAAUGUGGCUUCUCUUCGGAGUAGUGUUAUAGACCUUGGUAGAUGUGAUGAUCGGGAUUGAGGAUUGCAGCGAAUGCUAUUUGGCUAGUCCCCUGAUUUCUGAUGGUCACCUCGCCUUCGACAGCUUGCUGACGUGGGUGGGUUCUGAUUGUCUAGAUGUUAGAGUGAUCAUAUAUUCGCUAAGGAUGCUGACGUAAUGGCUUUAAACGACCCGUCUUGAACACGGACCAAGGAG
rnacentral:rRNA from 1 species